rnacentral:lncRNA from 1 species
UUCAAUCGUGUGAAUUCUUCAUGUAUUGCCGGGUCUAAGAGUAACUUCCUUGCCUGUCAUCAAAUAUCAAACACCGAACUAAGCACAGGCAAAAGUACCCAAAACAGAGAGACAACAGGGACUCAUAAUGUAGCCUGCAGAUGCAUCAUCCCAGAAACCACCCCCCUCUCCCUCUUUUAUCUUCAAAAUAUAUAUUUCUCUUCCUUGCUACCAGCAUGCAUGUCAGACACGGAUCUACCUACUUAUAACACUUGUAGUCUUCUUCUUAAGCCCCCAACGAAGCAGAAAGGCUGGAAGAUUUCCAACAAGGCAAAGUGUAGAAAGUACUCAAUUACAUAUUGAAAGAGGCUGGACCUAAAUAGAAGAUAAAACAAACAACAACAUAGAUUUUAACUGCACAUAUAGCAACAAAAAGAUGUAAAAGACCAUGGCUUUUUGCCGCAUGCUCUAAAUCUCUGAGGUCCAGGCCCCAAUUCGUCUCUACCAAAGUUCUGAUUCCUCACAAGAAAGGUUUUUCCCCACUUUUCCACAUAAAAAGGUUUUCUCGCACAUAUAAAUGAAGAAUAUUAGAUUUACAAAUUACUACUACAAAAAGAAAAUUCCUAAGUGAACUUUGCAAGUUAGUUAUGUGUAAUGCAACUGAUAAGAAAUUGACAAAUGCUAGAAGGCAGACACUGGAAAGUCCAACUACACCAAAUAUAAAAAACUUUCCUUUCAUGUAAGUUGGAAAUAAAACCAUUUCUACUAGUCAAUGCUGAUAAGGUAAAGCUCCAGUGCCUUGGCACAUACCUGCAUUGAUGGUGGCUUUUGUUGAGCUCUCAAAUCCCUAACAGCUGACUGAAAAUUCAUUUCAAAGAAGCACACAUAAUAAUGUUACAGAGAAUCACCAGAAAUUAUAACUUUGCAAAGGAAAAUAGGCACAAGAACAGUUUUACCAUGAUAUAAAAAAAUGGAAGGACUCUUUGGUGAAUCCAAUCAACAAUAUCAAUAUUCUUGUUAUACUAGUUCAAAGAAAACUCCUUGAGCUGACCUUGAUAUAACCUCUUGGAAAUUUUUCAGGGACAUUUAAAUUCUGUAUGGCCAUCUUUUUCCUUUUUUUUUUUUUUUUUUUUGAGGGAGUGGCUCAAUUGUGAGAAACAUAAAGAGAUGAGAACUCAUGAAAAGGAAAAAAUAUAAAUAAAAUUAAAGAAGCAAUGCAGUGGCCACUUUUUCAAAACUUCAGAAAAGUUCACAGAAAUGAAUUUAACAGAAGAAAAGGAUGCUCUCUUCCAUAAUCCUUUCUUCUAUAUUCUUCAUAAUAUGUACAACUGUAAUGGAUGAGGCUAUGCAAAUUCUAAAAGGCAGCAAAUGAGUUAUUCUUCAAAUCAAAUGAAGGUUAUAGCCAAAAUCUACAAACAUAAGCUAGCAUGAUUCUUGAGUAGAAAUCUCAUGAUCUCCCCAAAACAACUGUUAAUCACAAUAUCCUAUAUCUCCAGAAAACUCACAUGAGCUCAAGUCAGCUUUUAACCGAAAGGACAAUCAAUUCAGAAGACAAUUUCACACUUCCUGUCCUUUUCCAUUUCAUGAAGUUAUUUGUGGUCUUCUCAACCUCACAGAGAAACAUUUCUCUACGUAUUCCGCUGUAAAUAACAAAUUUUGCAGGCCGGAUGUGCAAUGCAGCUAAACAAAGAUAAAUAAUAUUU